CGAACCCCCACAGUGGUCACAGAGCACUUUCCCAGGAUGUGUGCCACGAAGGGAGGAAUCCUUACUGUUCAAGAAGUCCUGGAUUGGACAUGGAAUGAAGACUGAGGAGAGACUUUGGACAAUGGGCCCUCCCACGAAAUACUGAUUUUACUGAGUGAAAAUAUUGUAACCCACCCAGUUGUGAUCCAUAUCCUGUCUGCCCACAGAAAUCUCAGACUUUGUCUUUUCUUUCUGUGUCAGGCAAGUUAGUCCAAAGUAGGUCCCCAAUAUGGUAGUGCUGCUGACAAUAUGCUAAAAGAUAGCCUAGGCUCAACCCAGGCAGGGUUCUGACCUGGUAAACAGAAGGACUGUUUUUGGGUAACUAGAAACCUUAGCUCAGCAUUCCUCAGAAAUCAUAUCAUGUAAGGUGGGUUUUUCUUUACUAGGAAAGCUACUCCUUCUCUUAUCCAUCCCCAAUAGCAAAGUAGCUCAAGUAAGGGCAUUUGUACCCUGAUUAAC
rnacentral:lncRNA from 1 species